GAUGAACGCUGGCGGCGUGCCUAAUACAUGCAAGUCGAGCGAACGGACGAGAAGCUUGCUUCUCUGAUGUUAGCGGCGGACGGGUGAGUAACACGUGGAUAACCUACCUAUAAGACUGGGAUAACUUCGGGAAACCGGAGCUAAUACCGGAUAAUAUUUUGAACCGCAUGGUUCAAAAGUGAAAGACGGUCUUGCUGUCACUUAUAGAUGGAUCCGCGCUGCAUUAGCUAGUUGGUAAGGUAACGGCUUACCAAGGCAACGAUGCAUAGCCGACCUGAGAGGGUGAUCGGCCACACUGGAACUGAGACACGGUCCAGACUCCUACGGGAGGCAGCAGUAGGGAAUCUUCCGCAAUGGGCGAAAGCCCGACGGAGCAACGCCGCGUGAGUGAUGAAGGUCUUCGGAUCGUAAAACUCUGUUAUUAGGGAAGAACAUAUGUGUAAGUAACUGUGCACAUCUUGACGGUACCUAAUCAGAAAGCCACGGCUAACUACGUGCCAGCAGCCGCGGUAAUACGUAGGUGGCAAGCGUUAUCCGGAAUUAUUGGGCGUAAAGCGCGCGUAGGCGGUUUUUUAAGUCUGAUGUGAAAGCCCACGGCUCAACCGUGGAGGGUCAUUGGAAACUGGAAAACUUGAGUGCAGAAGAGGAAAGUGGAAUUCCAUGUGUAGCGGUGAAAUGCGCAGAGAUAUGGAGGAACACCAGUGGCGAAGGCGACUUUCUGGUCUGUAACUGACGCUGAUGUGCGAAAGCGUGGGGAUCAAACAGGAUUAGAUACCCUGGUAGUCCACGCCGUAAACGAUGAGUGCUAAGUGUUAGGGGGUUUCCGCCCCUUAGUGCUGCAGCUAACGCAUUAAGCACUCCGCCUGGGGAGUACGACCGCAAGGUUGAAACUCAAAGGAAUUGACGGGGACCCGCACAAGCGGUGGAGCAUGUGGUUUAAUUCGAAGCAACGCGAAGAACCUUACCAAAUCUUGACAUCCUUUGACAACUCUAGAGAUAGAGCCUUCCCCUUCGGGGGACAAAGUGACAGGUGGUGCAUGGUUGUCGUCAGCUCGUGUCGUGAGAUGUUGGGUUAAGUCCCGCAACGAGCGCAACCCUUAAGCUUAGUUGCCAUCAUUAAGUUGGGCACUCUAAGUUGACUGCCGGUGACAAACCGGAGGAAGGUGGGGAUGACGUCAAAUCAUCAUGCCCCUUAUGAUUUGGGCUACACACGUGCUACAAUGGACAAUACAAAGGGCAGCGAAACCGCGAGGUCAAGCAAAUCCCAUAAAGUUGUUCUCAGUUCGGAUUGUAGUCUGCAACUCGACUACAUGAAGCUGGAAUCGCUAGUAAUCGUAGAUCAGCAUGCUACGGUGAAUACGUUCCCGGGUCU
rnacentral:rRNA from 1 species